AGACAACUGAGAGGAAGGAGGUACCACGGGCACUCUCUCGCGAGAGGGCCGCAGAGCCGCCUUUGACGGGGGCGUGUACCUGGAGAGCAACGCAGGCAAUCAAGCUGGCUAGGUUCCUGCCACAAGUUCAGACUAGUCUUCUGUAGGAGCCUAUGAGGUUGGUCCUAUUUUUACUCUCACUUAUCCCUACUUACCAGAUGAGGAUCCUGAGGCUCAGAAAAACUCUUGACAAAAUUCUCAGGGAAAACUCUUCAGCUCUGGAUGUCUCCCUUUUUGUGGAUCAAACACAAAGGGCAUCAUUCUAAAAUAUAUACAGAACCAUAAAAGCCCCAAAUAGCCAAAGCAACCCUGAGCAAAAAGAACAAGGCUGGAAGCAUCACACUACCAGACUUCAAAAUUUACUACAAAGCUCUAAUACCUAAAAUAACAUG
rnacentral:lncRNA from 1 species